GACGUAGGGGGCCAGCGUUGCUCGGAAUUACUGGGUGUAAAGGGUUCGUAGGCGGUGUGGCAAGUCGGGAGUGAAAUCUCUGGGCUCAACCCAGAGUCUGCUUCCGAAACUGCUGUGCUUGAGUGUGGGAGAGGCGCGUGGAAUUGCAGGUGUAGCGGUGAAAUGCGUAGAUAUCUGCAGGAACACCCGUGGCGAAAGCGGCGCGCUGGACCACUACUGACGCUGAGGAACGAAAGCUAGGGGAGCAAACGGG
rnacentral:rRNA from 1 species